CAGUCUUCUCUUCUCUCUUUUCCCUGAAACCCUAAAACUGCCGCUGAAUCACCUUUCUUUUCGCUCUCUCUUCCAUCUCUUUCCAUUUUCUGUUCUACCUCUUCUCCGAGAAUUUUUUCGGUCUACCACUGUUUCUCUUUCUCCGACCUCUGCAACUUAAAACCCUAAAACCAAUAUAGAUUCGAACUACCCACCAAGUUUCCAUUUUACUAUUUCAUUUGAAGGAUCUGAAAACAAAACUUGCUCUUCUCUGUGUCGCUAAGAUUGCUCAUGACAGAAAUUCAUAUUAGAAACAGUAAGCACAAGAAGAUCUUGCCGAGAUUGAUGAAGGUAAACUAGGCUCUUAGUUAGAAACAACAAACAAAGGCAGAUCUUGAUUAUAGUUUAGUCGAUGUGGCUAAUCAGGUUUUUUUCCUAUUAUCGUUCUCAUUUGUUGUUGUGUUUCUGUUAGAAACUACAAAGUGAUUUAAUCACUUUCUUUCCAUUUAAUCACCAUCAAGGAGAUUAUAGUAUUCCAGGGACAUCAACAAGUAAAAUAUUUACAACAGUUAAUGUUGUUACUAACUUUGAUUUUCCCAAGAACUCAUACACUUAUUUGCACAGGGUAUGUUUGAUUUCUGCUCACUUUAAAUCCAAUUUGCUUAUUUUGUGUGUAUCAAUUAUAUGUACAUGUUCUGAUGGAUACUCUGUUUUUGAUAGGUUGGUCGUUCAGGAAGAUUUGGCCACCUUGGUUUAGUGGUGAACUUGAUCACUUACGAGGACUGCUUUAAUUUAUUUAGGAUUGAACAAGAAAUUGGCACUAAAAUAAAUGAAAUUCCGCCACACAUUGAUCAAGAAUUUUAUGAUCGGAACAUGUAACCCGUCUUUACAAGAGUUGUUUUUACAAGUUAGAUGAGUAGCUAGCUAUGGGGAAAUGCUAUGAGAGAUGCAAUUUCUAAAGUUUACACACAAAUAUUAAACUAUAUUCCAACAAAGCAACAACUAUAUUGGAAACUCAGUGAAGAUGGUAACAAUAUUUUUGUUAUUGCUACAUAGUCUGCAACAAAGCUCCUGGUGGAAAUUUAUAUAUCGACAUCCCCGCCUCUACUCCGAUAUAAAGGAUAUGAUGUCGUUCAUGGAGACAAUACCAUCAUUUAUUCUUCCGUAGACAUUUGAGUUUAAUUAUUAUUCUAUGAUUUUAGGGUGAGAGCUGGAGUCUAAAAAGAAUUUCAGAGUUUGGUUAUUUAAGAG